rnacentral:tRNA from 1 species
GCCUCGGUGGUGAAAUUGGUAGACGCGCCGGACUCAAAAUCCGGUUCCGCAAGGAGUGUCGGUUCGAUUCCGACCCGAGGCA